rnacentral:rRNA from 1 species
UACGAAGGGGGCUAGCGUUGCUCGGAAUUACUGGGCGUAAAGGGCGCGUAGGCGGACAGUUUAGUCAGAGGUGAAAGCCCAGGGCUCAACCUUGGAAUUGCCUUUGAUACUGGCUGUCUUGAGUUCGGGAGAGGUGAGUGGAAUGCCGAGUGUAGAGGUGAAAUUCGUAGAUAUCAGGAGGAACACCGGUGGCGAAGGCGGGACUCUGGGCCGAUACUGACGCUGAGGAGCGAAAGCGUGGGGAGCAAACAGG